rnacentral:rRNA from 1 species
GUUGCCGGUCAAAGAGGAGUGGCAAGACCCGAUCCCAUUUCGAACUCGGUAGUGAAUCGCUCCAUCGAUUUCAAUUGUACUGUCGAAAAGACGGGAACCUGAAGACGCUGGCGACC